CUCACUCAGGAGACCUGAUAGCAAGAUUGGAUUCCUACGGAGACAGAAAGAUGGCACCACAACCCUUAAUGUUCUGAACCCUGAUAAUGAUGGAAUAGUGAGUGAGACAGAGAGAGUGAUCACUAUAGGAGGUCUGGUGGGUAAACUCAGCCAGGGCACGGGGGCUAUAUCACAUGUAUAGACUAGUGUUAUUGAUGUGAUUUAUAUUCCAGUGAGUGAGACAGAGAGAGUGAUCACUAU